CUNCCUCCGUCCGGAAAUACUUGUCAUCAAAAUGGAUAAAAGGAAAUGUAUCUAGACGUAUUUUAGUUUUAGAUACAUCUCUUUUUAUCCAUUUUGAUGACAAGUAUUUUCGGACGGAGGGAG
rnacentral:pre_miRNA from 1 species